AUCCCGGGGCUGGAGAAGGUCCCAAGGGUUCGGCUGUUCGCCGAUUAAAGUGGCACGCGAGCUGGGUUCAGAACGUCGCGAGACAGUUCGGUCCCUAUCUGUUGUGGGCGUUAGAAACUUGCGAGGAGCUGACUCUAGUACGAGAGGACCGAGUUGGACGAACCUCUAGUGUACCUGCUGUGGUGCCAACUGCAUCGCAGGGUAGCUAUGUUCGGAUGAGAUAAGUGCUGAAAGCAUCUAAGUACGAAGCUCACCUCAAGAUGAGGUUUCUUUUAAGGGUCGUUAUAGACGAUGACGUUGAUAGGUUGCAGAUGUAUAAGUAGAAAUACUACAGUUGAGCAAUACUAAUUACCCGUAAACUUCUAUAG
rnacentral:rRNA from 1 species